rnacentral:lncRNA from 1 species
AGAAGUUGAACAUUUGUUUUGAGCCCAAUCUAGCUAAAAAAUUUAGGAAUCAAGUCAAGUAGAUUAUGACCCAAAUAGGCUAAAGAGAAACGAGUAAUUAGUUGCUAGUCAAGGUGCUUAUAUGAUAACACCUUGUAAUUUCUCUAUAUAUGACACUACUACCUAGGUAUUAGAUACUGAAAGUCCAGUUCACAUGUGCAAUUCAUUGUGUUGCCCAGCUAUGGAACCCAAGAGGGGGGGGG